AUUGAACGCUGGCGGCAGGCUUAACACAUGCAAGUCGAGCGGUAACAGAGAGAAGCUUGCUUCUCUGCUGACGAGCGGCGGACGGGUGAGUAAUGCCUAGGAAUCUGCCUAGUAGUGGGGGAUAACUUGCCGAAAGGUAAGCUAAUACCGCAUACGUCCUACGGGAGAAAGGAGGGGACCUUCGGGCCUUUCGCUAUUAGAUGAGCCUAGGUCGGAUUAGUUAGUUGGUGAGGUAAUGGCUCACCAAGACCGCGAUCCGUAACUGGUCUGAGAGGAUGAUCAGUCACACGGGAACUGAGACACGGUCCAGGCUCCUACGGGAGGCAGCAGUGGGGAAUAUUGGACAAUGGGGGGAACCCUGAUCCAGCCAUGCCGCGUGUGUGAAGAAGGUCUUAGGAUUGUAAAGCACUUUAAGUUGGGAGGAAGAGCAGUUAACUAAUAUUUGACUGUUCUGACGUUACCGACAGAAUAAGCACCGGCUAACUUCGUGCCAGCCGCCGCAGUAA
rnacentral:rRNA from 1 species